rnacentral:rRNA from 1 species
UCCCUACGGGGUGCAGCAGGCGCGCAAACUUUACAAUGCGAGCAAUCGUGAUAAGGAAACCCUGAGUGCCUGUCGAUGCAGGCUGUUCAUAUAUCUAAAUCAUAUGUGAAGAAAGGGCAGGGCAAGACCGGUGCCAGCCGCCGCGGUAAUACCGGCUGCUCGAGUGAUGGCCACUAUUACUGGGUUUAAAGCGUCCGUAGCUUGACUGUUAGGUCUCUUGGGAAAUCUUCACGCUCAACGUGAAGGCGUCUAAGAGAUACCGGCAGUCUUGGAACUGGGAGAGGUAAACCGUACUUCGGGGGUAGGAGUGAAAUCUUGUAAUCCUCGAGGGACGACCUAUGGCGAAGGCAGUUUACCAGAACAGCUUCGACAGUGAGGGACGAAAGCUGGGGGAGCAAACGGGAUUAGAUACCCCGGUAGUCCCAGCCGUAAACAAUGUGCGUUAGGUGUGUCGGUAACCACGUGUUACUGAUGCGCCGAAGAGAAAUCGUGAAACGCACCACCUGGGAAGUACGGUCGCAAGGCUGAAACUUAAAGGAAUUGGCGGGGGAGCACCACAACAGGUGGAGCCUGCGGUUUAAUUGGAUUCAACGCCGGACAUCUCACCGGAUAAGACAGCUGAAUGAUUGUCAAUCUGAAGGUUUUACAUGACUAGCUGAGAGGAGGUGC